rnacentral:rRNA from 1 species
GACGAACGCUGGCGGCGUGCCUAAUACAUGCAAGUCGAGCGAUGAUUAAAGAUAGCUUGCUAUUUUUAUGAAGAGCGGCGAACGGGUGAGUAACGCGUGGGAAAUCUGCCGAGUAGCGGGGGACAACGUUUGGAAACGAACGCUAAUACCGCAUAACAAUGAGAAUCGCAUGAUUCUUAUUUAAAAGAAGCAAUUGCUUCACUACUUGAUGAUCCCGCGUUGUAUUAGCUAGUUGGUAGUGUAAAGGACUACCAAGGCGAUGAUACAUAGCCGACCUGAGAGGGUGAUCGGCCACACUGGGACUGAGACACGGCCCAGACUCCUACGGGAGGCAGCAGUAGGGAAUCUUCGGCAAUGGGGGCAACCCUGACCGAGCAACGCCGCGUGAGUGAAGAAGGUUUUCGGAUCAUAAAACUCUGUUGUUAGAGAAGAACGUUAAGUAGAGUGGAAAAUUACUUAAGUGACGGUAUCUAACCAGAAAGGGACGGCUAACUACGUGCCAGCAGCCGCGGUAA